rnacentral:rRNA from 1 species
AGGACGAACGCUGGCGGCGUGCUUAACACAUGCAAGUGGUGCGACGAACCAGGGCUUGCCCUGGGGCAAAGCCGCGAACGGGUGAGUAACACGUGGGUAAUCUGCCCCGAUGACCGGGACAACCCGAGGAAACUCGGGCUAAUACCGGAUGAAGAGCCUUGGCGUAAGCCUUGUCUCUAAAGGAAGCUUCGGCCUCCGCAUUGGGAGGAGCCCGCGGCCCAUUAGCUUGUUGGUGGGGUAACUGCCUACCAAGGCGACGACGGGUA